rnacentral:rRNA from 1 species
CCUACGGGGGGCAGCAGUGGGGAAUAUUGGACAAUGGGGGGAACCCUGAUCCAGCCAUGCCGCGUGUGUGAAGAAGGCCCUCGGGUUGUAAAGCACUUUCAGUGAGGAAGAACGCCUGGUGGUUAAUACCCAUCAGGAAAGACAUCACUCACAGAAGAAGCACCGGCUAACUCCGUGCCAGCAGCCGCGGUAAUACGGAGGGUGCGAGCGUUAAUCGGAAUUACUGGGCGUAAAGCGCGCGUAGGUGGCUUGAUAAGCCGGUUGUGAAAGCCCCGGGCUCAACCUGGGAACGGCAUCCGGAACUGUCAAGCUAGAGUGCAGGAGAGGAAGGUAGAAUUCCAGGUGUAGCGGUGAAAUGCGUAGAGAUCGGGAGGAAUACCAGUGGCGAAGGCGGCCUUCUGGACUGACACUGACACUGAGGUGCGAAAGCGUGGGUAGCAAACAGGAUUAGAUACCCGGGUAGUC